AUUGAACGCUGGCGGCAGGCCUAACACAUGCAAGUCGAGCGGAUGAAGGGAGCUUGCUCCUGGAUACAGCGGCGGACGGGUGAGUAAUGCCUAGGAAUCUGCCUGGUAGUGGGGGAUAACGUCCGGAAACGGGCGCUAAUACCGCAUACGUCCUGAGGGCGAAAGGGGGGGAUCUUCGGACCUCACGCUAUCAGAUGAGCCUAGGUCGGAUUAGCUAGUUGGUGGGGUAAAGGCCUACCAAGGCGACGAUCCGUAACUGGUCUGAGAGGAUGAUCAGUCACACUGGAACUGAGACACGGUCCAGACUCCUACGGGAGGCAGCAGUGGGGAAUAUUGGACAAUGGGCGAAAGCCUGAUCCAGCCAUGCCGCGUGUGUGAAGAAGGUCUUCGGAUUGUAAAGCACUUUAAGUUGGGAGGAAGGGCAGUAAGUUAAUACCUUGCUGUUUUGACGUUACCAACAGAAUAAGCACCGGCUAACUUCGUG
rnacentral:rRNA from 1 species